UGGGGAAUCUUCCGCAAUGGACGAAAGUCUGACGGAGCAACGCCGCGUGAGUGAUGACGGCCUUCGGGUUGUAAAGCUCUGUUAAUCGGGACGAAAGGCCUUCUUGCGAAUAGUGAGAAGGAUUGACGGUACCGGAAUAGAAAGCCACGGCUAACUACGUGCCAGCAGCCGCGGUAAUACGUAGGUGGCAAGCGUUGUCCGGAAUUAUUGGGCGUAAAGCGCGCGCAGGCGGAUCAGUCAGUCUGUCUUAAAAGUUCGGGGCUUAACCCCGUGAUGGGAUGGAAACUGCUGAUCUAGAGUAUCGGAGAGGAAAGUGGAAUUCCUAGUGUAGCGGUGAAAUGCGUAGAUAUUAGGAAGAACACCAGUGGCGAAGGCGACUUUCUGGACGAAAACUGACGCUGAGGCGCGAAAGCCAGGGGAGCGAACGGGAUUAGAUACCCCGGCAGUCCUGGCCGUAAACGAUGGGUACUAGGUGUAGGAGGUAUCGACCCCUUCUGUGCUGGAGUUAACGCAAUAAGUACCCCGCCUGGGGAGUACGACCGCAAGGUUG
rnacentral:rRNA from 1 species